rnacentral:rRNA from 1 species
UGAUCCAGCAAUGCCGCGUGAGUGAAGAAGGCCUUCGGGUUGUAAAGCUCUUUUGUCGCUUAUUAAACGGCGGCGGCUAAUAUCCGGAGCUAAUGACGGUACCUUAAGAAUAAGCACCGGCUAACUACGUGCCAGCAGCCGCGGUAAUACGUAGGGUGCAAGCGUUAAUCGGAAUUACUGGGCGUAAAGCGUGCGCAGGCGGUUUUGUAAGUCUGACGUGAAAUCCCCGGGCUUAACCUGGGAAUUGCGAUGGAGACUGCAAGGCUAGAGUCUGGCAGAGGGGGGUAGAAUUCCACGUGUAGCAGUGAAAUGCGUAGAGAUGUGGAGGAACACCGAUGGCGAAGGCAGCCCCCUGGGUCAAGACUGACGCUCAUGCACGAAAGCGUGGGGAGCAAACAGGAUUAGAUACCCUGGUAGUCCACGCCCUAAACGAUGUCUACUAGUUGUCGGGUCUUAAUUGACUUGGUAACGCAGCUAACGCGUGAAGUAGACCGCCUGGGGAGUACGGUCGCAAGAUUAAAACUCAAAGGAAUUGACGG